rnacentral:rRNA from 1 species
CUCCGGUUGAUCCUGCCGGACCCGACUGCUAUCAGAGUGAGAUUAAGCCAUGCGAGUUAACGUAGCAAUACGUGGCGCACGGCUCAGUAACACGUAGUCAACAUGCCCAGAGGACGUGGAUAACCUCGGGAAACUGAGUCUAAACCGCGAUAAGUGAGGAUUUCUGGAAUGGUUCCUGACUAAAAUCUAUAUGGCCUCUGGAUUGGACUGCGGCCGAUCAGGCUGUUGGUGAGGUAAUGGCCCACCAAACCUGUAACCGGUACGGGCUCUGAGAGGAGGAGCCCGGAGAUGGGCACUGAGACAAGGGCCCAGGCCCUAUGGGGCGCAGCAGGCGCGAAACCUCUGCAAUAGGCGAAAGCUUGACAGGGUUACUCUGAGUGAUGCCCGCUAAGGGCAUCUUUUGGCACCUCUAAAAAUGGUGCAGAAUAAGGGGUGGGCAAGUCUGGUGUCAGCCGCCGCGGUAAUACCAGCACCCCGAGUGGUCGGGACGAUUAUUGGGCCUAAAGCAUCCGUAGCUUGUUCUGCAAGUCCUCCGUUAAAUCCACCUGCUCAACAGAUGGGCCGCGGAGGAUACUACAGGGCUAGGAGGCGGGAGAGGCAAGCGGUACUCAGUGGGUAGGGGUAAAAUCCUCUGAUCCACUGAAGACCACCAGUGGCGAAGGCGGCUUGCCAGAACGCGCUCGACGGUGAGGGAUGAAAGCUGGGGGAGCAAACCGGAUUAGAUACCCGGGUAGUCCCAGCCGUAAACGAUGCAGACUCGGUGAUGGGUUGGCUUCGCGCUAACCCAGUGCCGCAGGGAAGCCGUUAAGUCUGCCGCCUGGGUAGUACGGUCGCAAGACUGAAACUUAAAGGAAUUGGCGGGGGAGCA